AUUGAACGCUGGCGGCAGGCCUAACACAUGCAAGUCGAGCGGAUGAAGGGAGCUUGCUCCUGGAUUCAGCGGCGGACGGGUGAGUAAUGCCUAGGAAUCUGCCUGGUAGUGGGGGAUAACGUCCGGAAACGGGCGCUAAUACCGCAUACGUCCUGAGGGAGAAAGUGGGGGAUCUUCGGACCUCACGCUAUCAGAUGAGCCUAGGUCGGAUUAGCUAGUUGGUGGGGUAAAGGCCUACCAAGGCGACGAUCCGUAACUGGUCUGAGAGGAUGAUCAGUCACCCUGGAACUGAGAAACGGUCCCGACUCCUAAGGGGAGCAACAGUGGGGAAUAUUGGACAAUGGGCGAAAGCCUGAUCCAGCCAUGCCGCGUGUGUGAAGAAGGUCUUCGGAUUGUAAAGCACUUUAAGUUGGGAGGAAGGGCAGUAAGUUAAUACCUUGCUGUUUUGACGUUACCAACAGAAUAAGCACCGGCUAACUUCGUG
rnacentral:rRNA from 1 species